CGGGACUGCAGCGGCCCCGCGGCCGGGAGGGGGAAGCGACGACUCGGGGACGCAGCUUCCGAAUGAGGACCAAGACUCACGAAGUCUUCAUUAUCUGCUGGAUCUUGUAAUUUUCUCCAGAAGGAGUUUGGAGGCAGAAGGAGAAAGCAGCUUGCAGAAUCUGAAUGAUCUGUGACCACUUGGGAUCAAAAUGAAAGACAAGAAGAAAACAAAUGAAACCCCUGAGGCUGAGAUGAACACCCCGCACAGAUUCCAUUCAUGACAAAUGGAUUUUUGGAUCCAGGAAAGAGAGAUGCUUCAGCAAAGACAAGAUACUUCUGUAACUUUCCAAUUAAAGUGCCCCAUUUGGACACUGUCCCAGGCCUCGCUGAGCUUGUGCCCAGGCUCCUGGCAGGAGAAGGGCCACCGCAGGCAAGGCCAAGGUCCCUCCUCUCCUCCCAUCCUGAUGGUGUCCUUGGGCUCCCUCUAGACAGAAGCUCUCACUGCUCCUGCCAGACCCACAGACCCCAGCUCCCCAGGCAGGAGCUUACAUCUUGGCAGUGCUUCCGAAACUAUGAGUUUAAUUUAUUCUCAUUCACCCCGAAGAGUCAAUAUAUAUAUAGACACUAUG